GCGCUGGACUGCGGCUAUCCCGAGUGUGACGUCAGCUGACACAGACGGGUUGUAUCGUUCAUGGAUUUUAUUCUGGAACUUCCUGUAAACCCGGAAAUGUCUUGUUUUGAAAGGGUUGUAGCUCAAACGGUUUAAAGUGUAUUUCACGGAGCUAAAAUGUGUCAUAAGACGCAAUAAAAAGCACAGAACCAGCCUUAGCACCAGUCGAAACAGGCAUCAAGAAAGCCGUGCACGUGCAGCAGAUGAGACUUUGUGGAAAAAUGAGUGGAGCAGUGAGACGUGGUUCUCCAGUGGAAGUCAUGGAUCAGCAGGAGCAGCCAUCUUAAAAGCUCCAUUUAAAGGGAUCAGCAUGAA